rnacentral:rRNA from 1 species
UACGUGAGGGGCGAACGUUGUUCGGUGUCACUGGGCUUAAAGGGUGCGUAGGUGGUUGCGUAAGUCAGGUGUGAAAUCCCUCGGCUUACCCGGGGAAUUGCAUUUUAUACUGCGAGGCUUGAGGAUUAAAGGGGAAAAGGGAACUCCAGGUGUAGCGGUGAAAUGCGCAGAUAUCAGGAGGAACACCAAUGGCGAAGGCAGCUCGCUGGGACGGUACUGACGCUGAGACGCGAAAGCGUGGGGAGCAAACAGG